CCUACGGGUGGCUGCAGUGGGGAAUAUUGCGCAAUGGGCGAAAGCCUGACGCAGCGACGCCGCGUGAGGGAUGAAGGUCUUCGGAUCGUAAACCUCUGUCAGCAGGGAAGAACGGUCACUGUGCUAAUCAGCAGUGAAUUGACGGUACCUGCAAAGGAAGCACCGGCUAACUCAGUGCCAGCAGCCGCGGUAAUACGGAGGGUGCGAGCGUUAAUCGGAAUUACUGGGCGUAAAGCGCUCGUAGGCGGGCUGUUAAGUCAGCGGUAAAAGCCCGGGGCUCAACCCCGGCGAGCCGUUGAAACUGGCUGUCUUGAGAUGUCGAGAGGUAUGCGGAAUGCGUAGUGUAGCGGUGAAAUGCUUAGAUAUUGCGCAGAACUCCGAUUGCGAAGGCAGCAUACCGGCGGCGAUCUGACGCUGAGGCACGAAAGCGUGGGUAUCGAACAGGAUUAGAUACCCCUGUAGUC
rnacentral:rRNA from 1 species